rfam:Ascochyta rabiei strain ArDII scaffold_259, whole genome shotgun sequence.
UCCUCCGUGGCGCAAUUGGCUAGCGCGUCUGACUGUUAUCCGCAUACACUCGCUUGAUUGCACAUCAGGAGGUUGAAAGUUCGAGCCUUUCCGGGGGAG